rnacentral:lncRNA from 1 species
GUUUACAUCCCUGUUAGUAAGCAUUUAUCCUUUGCCAAGAAAAUACAUCCACCUGACAGGUGUGGCAUAUCAAUAAGCUGAUUAAACAGCAGGAUCAUUACACAGGUGCACCUCGUGCUGGGGACAAUAAAAUGCCACUCUAAAAUGUGCAGUUUAAGCUGCAUCCAAUGUCGUUUUAAAGAAUUUGGCAGUACAUCCAACCGGCCUCACAACCGCAGACCACAUGUAACCACGCCAGCCCAGGACCUCCACAUCCGGCUUCUUCACCUGCGGUAUCGUCUGAGACCAGCCACGCGGACAGCUGAUGAAACUGGUCUUGAUCUGACUGCAGUUCGGCAUCGUAUCCAACUUCAGUGGCAAAUGCUCACCUUCAUGUGGACGAGUGGUCUGCUGAUGUCAAUCUUGUGAACAGAGUGCUACAUGGUGGCCGUUGGAGUUAUGCUAAAUUGAAGACGACGGUUCCUAGUCAGAAAGGCACUACAGCACCGCCAGCUGGAUGGGGGUUUACUACUGUGCAAGGCAGCCUACAGACCAUUAGUAAAGGAGAGAGCUGUUUGAAAAUGUUACCCUGUCAAGACGAACAGCGACACGGCAUGUUGAGGACAUCGCAGAGAAUGUGGAACAACAGUUGAAAGACAAGUUUCCCAGUCUGACCGUUCUGCCUACCCUGACCCUGAGCCUGCCUGUCAUCCUGCACCUUGGCCCCACUACUCUGGAUCACCGAGUUCUGCCUGACCUGACCCUAAGCCCACCUGCUGUUACGGUGCCUUACACCCUCUCUGGAUUAUUGACCACUGUCUGCCUUAACCUGUCGUUUGCCUGCCCC